GGGGGUAUAGCUCAGCUGGGAGAGCGCUUGCAUGGCAUGCAAGAGGUCAGCGGUUCGAUCCCGCUUAUCNUGA
rnacentral:tRNA from 1 species